rnacentral:rRNA from 1 species
GAUGAACGCUGGCGGCGUGCUUAACACAUGCAAGUCGAGCGAACAGACGAGGAGCUUGCUGCUUUGACGUUUGCGGCGGACGGGAGAGUAACACGUGUAUAACCUACCUAUAAGACUGAGAUAUCUUCGGGACUCCGGAGAUAAUACCGGAUCAUAUAUUGCACCGUAUGGUUCAAUAGUGAAUGACGGCUUUGCUGUCACUUAUAGAUGGAUCCGCGCCGCAUUAGCUAGUUGGUAGGGUAACGGCCUACCAAGGCAACGAUGCGUAGCCGACGUGAGUGGGUGAUCGGCCACACUGGAACGUGAACACGGUCCAGACUCCUACGGGAGGCAGCAGUAGGGAAUCUUCCGCAAUGGGCGAAAGCCUGACGCAGCGACGCCGCGUGAGUGAUGAAGGUCUUCGGAUCGUAAAACUCUGUUAUUAGGGAAGAACAAAUGUGGAAGUAACUAUACACGUAUUGACGGUACCUAAUCAGGAAGCCACGGCUAACUACGUG